rnacentral:rRNA from 1 species
CCUACGGGGGGCAGCAGUGAGGAAUAUUGGUCAAUGGUCGGGAGACUGAACCAGCCAAGCCGCGUGAGGGAUGAAGGUACAGAGUAUCGUAAACCUCUUUUGUCAGGGAACAAAGGCGGGGACGCGUCCCCGGAUGAGUGUACCUGAAGAAAAAGCAUCGGCUAACACCGUGCCAGCAGCCGCGGUAAUACGGAGAAUGCGAACGUUAUCCGGUUUUAUUGGGGUAAAGGGGUGCGAAGGCGGUCUGUUAAGUUCGCGGUAAAAGCCCGGGGCUCAACCCGGGCCCGCCGUUGAAACUGGCAGUCUCGAGUUGGAGAGAAGUAUGCGGAAUGCGCGGUGUAGCGGUGAAAUGCAUAGAUAUCGCGCAGAACUCCGAUUGCGAAGGCAGCAUGCCGGCUCCACACUGACGCUGAGGCACGAAAGCGUGGGUAUCGAACAGGAUUAGAUACCCCAGUAGUC